AGUGAACGCUAGCGGCAGGCCUAAUACAUGCAAGUCGAACGGUGUCUUCGGACAUAGUGGCGCACGGGUGCGUAACACGUAUGCAACCUACCUUACAUUGGGGGAUAGCCUUUCGAAAGGGAGAUUAAUACCGCAUAAGACAGUAGCUGGGCAUCCAGCAGCUGUUAAAGAUUUAUCGAUGUAAGCUGGGCAUGCGUCCAAUUAGCUAGUUGGUGAGGUAACGGCUCACCAAGGCAAUGAUUGGUAGGGGAACUGAGAGGUCAAUCCCCCACACUGGCACUGAGAUCCGGGCCAGACUCCGACGGGAGGCAGCGGUAGGGAAUAUUGGACAAUGGACGCAAGUCUGACCCAGCCAUGCCGCGUGCAGGAUGAAGGCGUUAUGCGUUGUAAACUGCUUUUAUACAGGAAGAAACGACUCUUGCGAGAGGCAUUGACGGUACUGUAUGAAUAAGCACCGGCUAACUCCGUGCCAGCAGCCGCCGUAACAC
rnacentral:rRNA from 1 species